rnacentral:rRNA from 1 species
AGUGAACGCUGGCGGUAGGCCUAACACAUGCAAGUCGAACGGCAGCACAGUAAGAGCUUGCUCUUACGGGUGGCGAGUGGCGGACGGGUGAGGAAUACAUCGGAAUCUACUUUUUCGUGGGGGAUAACGUAGGGAAACUUACGCUAAUACAGCAUAUGACCUACGGGUGAAAGCAGGGGAUCUUCGGACCUUGCGCGAUUGAAUGAGCCGAUGUCGGAUUAGCUAGUUGGCGGGGUAAAGGCCCACCAAGGCGACGAUCCGUAGCUGGUCUGAGAGGAUGAUCGGCCACCCUGGAACGUGACCACGGUCCUGACUCCUACGGGAGGCAGCAGUGGGGAAUAUUGGACAAUGGGCGCAAGCCUGAUCCAGCCAGACCGCGUGGGUGAAGAAGGCGUUCGGGUUGUAAAGCCCUUUUGUUGGGAAAGAAAAGCAGCAGGUUAAUACCCCGCGGUUCUGACGGUACCCAAAGAAUAAGCACCGGCUAACUUCGUG